UGUGUGUUAGUGGAAGCGUCUGGAAAGGCGCGCGAUACAGGGUGACAGCCCCGUACACAAAAAUGCACAUGCUGUGAGCUCGAUGAGUAGGGCGGGACACGUGGUAUCCUGUCUGAAUAUGGGGGGACCAUCCUCCAAGGCUAAAUACUCCUGACUGACCGAUAGUGAACCAGUACCGUGAGGGAAAGGCGAAAAGAACCCCGGCGAGGGGAGUGAAAAAGAACCUGAAACCGUGUACGUACAAGCAGUGGGAGCACGCUUAGGCGUGUGACUGCGUACCUUUUGUAUAAUGGGUCAGCGACUUAUAUUCUGUAGCAAGGUUAACCGAAUAGGGGAGCCGAAGGGAAACCGAGUCUUAACUGGGCGUUAAGUUGCAGGGUAUAGACCCGAAACCCGGUGAUCUAGCCAUGGGCAGGUUGAAGGUUGGGUAACACUAACUGGAGGACCGAACCGACUAAUGUUGAAAAAUUAGCGGAUGACUUGUGGCUGGGGGUGAAAGGCCAAUCAAACCGGGAGAUAGCUGGUUCUCCCCGAAAGCUAUUUAGGUAGCGCCUCGUGAAUUCAUCUCCGGGGGUAGAGCACUGUUUCGGCAAGGGGGUCAUCCCGACUUACCAACCCGAUGCAAACUGCGAAUACCGGAGAAUGUUAUCACGGGAGACACACGGCGGGUGCUAACGUCCGUCGUGAAGAGGGAAACAACCCAGACCGCCAGCUAAGGUCCCAAAGUCAUGGUUAAGUGGGAAACGAUGUGGGAAGGCCCAGACAGCCAGGAUGUUGGCUUAGAAGCAGCCAUCAUUUAAAGAAAGCGUAAUAGCUCACUGGUCGAGUCGGCCUGCGCG
rnacentral:rRNA from 1 species